rnacentral:rRNA from 1 species
CCUACGGGAGGCAGCAGUGAGGAAUAUUGGUCAAUGGCCGGAAGGCUGAACCAGCCAAGCCGCGUGAAGGACGAAGGUGCCAAGCAUUGUAAACUUCUUUUGUCAAGGGACAAAAUCAGGCUCGAGAGCCUGACCGAGGGUACUUGAAGAAAAAGCAUCGGCUAACUCCGUGCCAGCAGCCGCGGUAAUACGGAGGAUGCGAGCGUUAUCCGGAUUUAGUGGGUUUAAAGGGUGCGUAGGCGGACUGUUAAGUCAGCGGUAAAAGCCCGGGGCUAAACCCCGGCGAGCCGUUGAAACUGGCUGUCUUGAGAUGUCGAGAGGUAUGCGGAAUGCGCAGUGUAGCGGUGAAAUGCUUAGAUAGUGCGCAGAACUCCGAUUGCGAAGGCAGCAUACCGGCGGCGAUCUGACGCUGAGGCACGAAAGCGUGGGUAUCGAACAGGAUUAGAUACCCCUGUAGUC